AACGCACAUUGCGCCCUUUGGCAUUCCGAAGGGCAUGCCCGUUCGAGCGUCAUUUUAACCAAUCAAGCCCGGCUUGGUGUUGGGCCUCGGGGUGACCCGGGCCUCGAAUCGAUGGGCUGUUGAACAGAGUGGCCGACCGCCUAGCGUAGUGAUUCAAUUCCCGCACAGCGUGACCGCUCUUGCCCUAAUCGAAUUGGUGAAUUUCACCAGCAGGUUGACCUCGGAUCGGGUAGGGAUACCCGCUGAACUUAA
rnacentral:misc_RNA from 1 species